rnacentral:lncRNA from 1 species
CUCACCUUUUCCAUUUUGGGGAAUUUUUUUGUUUUUUGGGUUUUUUUUUUUUUUUUUGCCAAAAAUAAAAAGUCUGGAUGGAGUCUUCCCGCAGAGAAGAAAUAAAAAGAGUGUUUGAAUUGUUGGAUGGUUCUGAAGGCUUCUGAAUUUGCAAACGAAUUUUAGAACUAUUUGCAGAGGUCUACUUGCUGCCAGUCAUCUCUCUCUCUCUCUCUUUCUCUUCUGUUUUAUGUCCUGCUAUCUCCAUCAUGCCUCUGUUACUAUGAAGACUUUCUGCCUGUAAACCUCAAAAAAAUCGACCCUUCCGAAAACCAAUGCUCUGCCUUUCGUUUUCAAGGACAUUAAAAUAUUGCUAACUUGAAUACACAAGAAGAAAGAGGGUGGUAUAAGU